GCUUAGAGGGGAGAAGUGAAGGAUUACAUUUCAGGGUUUUGCCUGGACGAGCAGUCUUUGUGUCUUUAUCCCACGGGCGCUUCGAACAAGCUGAAUAUUGUUUUAACUGCUUCCUACCGAGUCAACUCAUGAACCUCACAGUGAGAAGGUGACCGGCACAGUGUAUGGACAGAUUUUGUUCUAAGCUGCAUUUACCAACCCUAAAGAAGACUGUCAUGUCCGUACCUGGCCAGCUGAAUGCUUCCACCUCACCCACCCUCCGGCCCCCUGUCACAUUGCCUCACCUCUAUCAGCGCAAAAGUCUGUGCACAUAUAUAUUCGAUUCUUUCUGCAGAAGGACAUUAAAUGUGGUGUUGCACGUUUUGAAGGCUGGACAGUGACAAGAACCCCUUGCUCCAAGGAAAGGGAGAGGAGAGGAGCAGAAGGUACACCUGGUCUGGCAUUCUGUUCAGUGUGACACCAUCAAGGAAGGCAGAUCGUCUCCCAUUACCAUAUAACAUAUGAGCGCUGGAGAUAUGCACCAGCAACCCCAUGAGGGAUUAAGCGGGUCAGUAAAUGGUAGGAUGGAUGGAUUAGUGAGGAUUCCUGGAUCAAUGUGUGGUUUUGUGAUUCCAAAAAAGUUAC